ensembl:lncRNA
AGAUGAAUGGGAAGAAUUUCCCUAUUCCAGGAAACAUGUCUGGUGUCUGGAAAGAAGAUUUGAGUUAGAAUGUGGCCUCCCUCACUUAGCAGAUACAUGAUGGUGCCAGGUUAUUUAACUUCCUAGAGCCUCAUCUUCCUCUGUAACAGAGAGAUAAUAACUUUUUCAUAAAUUUUGUGGAGAGAAUUAAACUGAUAUACUAUUUGCAUAAUUAGAGUGCUCAGCUAUAAACUAUUUUUUUGAGAUGUGGUCUUCGCUAAGUUGCCCAGUGUUAUGGCUUGUGUCUAGAUGUCUCCCCACAGCCUCAUGAGGUCAUAGGGGGGGGCUUUUUGGAGGUGGCUGGAUCCAGCAUGUGAGAUAAUGGGGCCUCACAAUCCCUGACUUUAAAUUAUACUACAAAGCUAUGGUGUUAAAAACAGUGUGGUACUGGCAAAAGAACAGACCUGAGGAUCAAUGGAACAGAUUAGAGGAUGCAGAAACAAUUCCAGACACACUCAGCCACCUUAUCUUUGACAAAGGAGGCAAACACCUUCACUGGAAGAAAGAGAGCCUCUUUAAUAAAUGGUGCUGGAAAAACUGGUUUUCCACAUGUUGAAGAUUGAAACUAGACCCAUAUCUUUCACCAUGCACUAACCUCAAAUAGAAAUGGAUCAGGCAGGGGAUUUAGCUCAGUGGUUCUGCCACCUGCCUUGCAAGGGCAAGGUCCGAAGUUUGAUCCCCAGGAGAAAAAAAUAAAAUAAAAUAAAAAGAAAUGGAUUAAAUAUUAAAACAGAAACACUAAACCUGGUGGAAGAGAGAAUAGGUAGAAUGCUUGAAGACAUAGGAGUGGGCAAAGACUUCAUAAACAAAACACAGACUGCAUGAGAAAUACUACAAAGAAUCAACUACUGGGACCUCAUCUUAUUAAAAAUCUUUGCACAGCAAGAGAAACCACCAACAGAGCAAAGAGACAACCCACAAUGUGGGAAAAUUUUUUACCAGGUAUUCAGAUAAAGGACUAUUAUCUAGAAUAUAUAAAGAACUCAAAAAAAUCAGACCCCCCAAAUUUAAAGACCCAAUCCAAAAAUGCGGAUCUGAAAUGAAAAGACAUUUCUCAGAUGAAGAAUUAGAGAUGGCAAAUAAAUACAUGAAAAAAAAUUCAACAUCACUGGCCAUUUGAGAGAUGCAAAUUAAAACAAUACUGAGAUUCCAUCUCACUCUAGAAAGAAUGGCUGCUAUCAAGAAAUCAACCAAUAACAAAUGCUGGUGGGGCUGUGGGGAAAAAAGAACCCUUCUCCACUGUUGGUCGGAGUGUAGACUGCUGCAACCACUGUGGAAAUCAGUGUGGAGAUUCCUCAAAAAACUAAACUAAAACUAGAGGUUCCAUUUGACCCAGCUACACCUCUUCUUGAUCUUCCUGAAAGAAUUAAAAGGAUUAUGCCACAGUGAUAUAUGCAUACUCAUGUUUAUAGGCGCACAGUUUGUAAUAGCUAAAUCUUGGAAACAGCCCAAAUGCCCAUCAACUGACCAGUGGAUAAAGAAGAUGUGUUUUUUUUUAAUGCAAUGGAGUACUACUCUGCCAUAAAGAAGGAUGAGCUUCAGACAUUUAUUAGCUAAGUGGAUGGACUUUUUUUUUCUUUUUGGUACUGGGGAUCAAACUUGGGACCUUUUGCUUGUGAGGCAGGUGGUGGCACCACUGAGCUAAAUCCCCAGCCCUAUAUGGAUGGACCUUGAGACCAUACUCUUAAGUGAAAUAAAUUGGACACAUAUGUUUAAAUAGUGCAUUGUUUCUCUGGUGUGAGAAACUGAAUGUUGACAUAAGGACAGAGAUGUAUAAUGGAUGCUGGGAAAUGGGAAGAAAGUGUUCAAAUGGGAAAGGGGAACAAGGGAGGAGGGAGGGAGAAAGGAAGGAAGGGACAAGAAAAAAAGUGAAAAUAGAAGGAAAAAAUGGAAACAAAGCUUUUGUACAUGGGGAG